rnacentral:lncRNA from 1 species
ACAAAACUACUUUAUAUAUUACUUUCACUUCAUUAUUCGUUUUGUUCACACUUGCGUUCUUAAACAAUGGUAUAUAGAGAUCAUACGGUGGUGAGACGAUUGAUACGUGAGAUCUACUUACGUACCUGCAUGAUUACUAGUUAUUGCAAAAAACAUUAAAUUUACUUUGAUAUAUAGAGAGAGUAAUCAUUAUAUAAAGCUAACUUAAGUUAUAUAUAAAUAUUUUUCAUAAAAAAAAAAAAC